rnacentral:rRNA from 1 species
CCUACGGGGUGCAGCAGUGGGGAAUAUUGCACAAUGGGGGCAACCCUGAUGCAGCGACGCCGCGUGAGUGAAGAAGUAUUUCGGUGCGUAAAGCUCUAUCAGCAGGGAAGAAAAUGACGGUACCUGACUAAGAAGCCCCGGUUAACGACGGGCCAGCAGCCGCGGUAAUACGUAGGGGGCAAGCGUUAUCCGGAUUUACUGGGUUUAAAGGGAGCGUAGACGGCAGCGCAGGGCUGGAGUGAAAUCCAAUGGCUUAACCAUGGAACUGCUUUGGAAACUGGGCAGCUGGAGUGCAGGAGAGGUAAGCGGAAUUCCUAGUGUAGCGGUGAAAUGCGUAGAUAUUAGGAGGAACACCAGUGGCGAAGGCGGCUUACUGGACUGUAACUGACGUUGAGGCUCGAAAGCGUGGGGAGCAAACAGGAUUAGAUACCCUUGUAGUC